CGCGGGGUGGAGCAGUGGCAGCUCGUCGGGCUCAUAACCCGAAGGUCGCAGGUUCAAAUCCUGCCCCCGCUACCA
rnacentral:tRNA from 1 species